GGCAAUCUGCCCUUCACUCUGGGACAAGCCCUGGAAACGGGGUCUAAUACCGGAUAACACUCUGUCCCGCAUGGGACGGGGUUGAAAGCUCCGGCGGUGAAGGAUGAGCCCGCGGCCUAUCAGCUUGUUGGUGGGGUGAUGGCCUACCAAGGCGACGACGGGUAGCCGGCCUGAGAGGGCGACCGGCCACACUGGGACUGAGACACGGCCCAGACUCCUACGGGAGGCAGCAGUGGGGAAUAUUGCACAAUGGGCGAAAGCCUGAUGCAGCGACGCCGCGUGAGGGAUGACGGCCUUCGGGUUGUAAACCUCUUUCAGCAGGGAAGAAGCGAAAGUGACGGUACCUGCAGAAGAAGCGCCGGCUAACUACGUGCCAGCAGCCGCGGUAAUACGUAGGGCGCAAGCGUUGUCCGGAAUUAUUGGGCGUAAAGAGCUCGUAGGCGGCUUGUCGCGUCGGAUGUGAAAGCCCGGGGCUUAACCCCGGGUCUGCAUUCGAUACGGGCAGGCUAGAGUGUGGUAGGGGAGAUCGGAAUUCCUGGUGUAGCGGUGAAAUGCGCAGAUA
rnacentral:rRNA from 1 species